rnacentral:tRNA from 1 species
GCCAGCAUGGUAUAGUGGUUUGAGCAAUGGACUAUGACUCUGGAGACCAGGGUUUGAAUCCCAGCUCAGCCA